rnacentral:rRNA from 1 species
UACGUAGGGUGCAAGCGUUGUCCGGAAUUAUUGGGCGUAAAGAGCUCGUAGGCGGUUUGUCGCGUCUGCUGUGAAAUCCCAGGGCUUAACCCUGGGCCUGCAGUGGGUACGGGCAAACUAGAGUGCGGUAGGGGGAGAUCGGAAUUCCUGGUGUAGCGGUGAAAAUGCGCAGAUAUCAGGAGGAACACCGGUGGCGAAGGCGGAUCUCUGGGCCGUAACUGACGCUGAGGAGCGAAAGCAUGGGUAGCGAACAGG